GCGGGUAUAGCUCAGUGUUAGAGCCUAUGCUUAGCAUGCACAAGGUCCUGGGUUCGAUCCCCAGUACCUCCA
rnacentral:tRNA from 1 species